rnacentral:tRNA from 1 species
GCAGUGUUGGUUCAGUGGUAGAAUUCUUGCCUUCCAUGCAGGAGACCUGAGUUUGAUUUCCUGGUCAGUGCA